rnacentral:pre_miRNA from 1 species
CAGAGUUGAGAUCGGGUCGUCUCCCCCUGGCGGAAGGAGGCAAACCCGAGCUCCUCCUUC